rnacentral:rRNA from 1 species
GACGAACGCUGGCGGCGUGCCUAAUACAUGCAAGUAGAACGCUGAAGAGAGGAGCUUGCUCUUCUUGGAUGAGUUGCGAACGGGUGAGUAACGCGUAGGUAACCUGCCAUGUAGCGGGGGAUAACUAUUGGAAACGAUAGCUAAUACCGCAUAACAAUGGAUGACACAUGUCAUUUAUUUGAAAGGGGCAAUUGCUCCACUACAAGAUGGACCCGCGUUGUAUUAGCUAGUAGGUGAGGUAAUGGCUCACCUAGGCGACGAUACAUAGCCGACCUGAGAGGGUGAUCGGCCACACUGGGACUGAGACACGGCCCAGACUCCUACGGGAGGCAGCAGUAGGGAAUCUUCGGCAAUGGGGGCAACCCUGACCGAGCAACGCCGCGUGAGUGAAGAAGGUUUUCGGAUCGUAAAGCUCUGUUGUAAGUCAAGAACGGGUGUGAGAGUGGAAAGUUCACACUGUGACGGUAGCUUACCAGAAAGGGACGGCUAACUACGUG